UGGGAAGCUUUAGGCACAAACAUAGGCACUGCAGGCUUGCACUUUCGCCACCUUGUGCAGUUAUAUGGAAAACAUUGGGCAGCCUUGUGCACUUUUUAGAUACUUUGCUUUAAUUUUGGGCAUACACUUGUGCAUAUUGUUCGGCCACUUAGUAAUAGUUGUAAAUCGCGUUACACACUAUUCUUAUGUGUAGCGUAAGUUCCAAGGUCCUCCUUGUAAGGUGAAACCUCUGGGAUCGGAAGGGAAAAAGAUUUUUUUUAUGUUGAAGGGGGAGGGACGAAUCGAAGCGACA
rnacentral:lncRNA from 1 species